rnacentral:lncRNA from 1 species
GAGGGGGUGAGAGAAGCCGAAAUGAGGCGCUCAUCCUGCCGAAGCGAGGAUGCCAUUUGAUUUGUAGGCAGCUCUUUGGAAUCUCAACGUUUUAUAAAGUUUACCACUACAAGUUUCUCUGAAUGCUCAUUUCUGAAGGAGGCCAGGGCCUCUGUACAUGGCUAUGCAGAUGGAGCAUUGUACAAUUCCAGCUGAUAUACGUGAUGCCCCUCACCGCUUUUCACCACCCUAUGACCUGUUACCCUUCCUUCUUUGUUUUAAAAUGCUUAAAAAAAAAAAAGACUUUCAAAUGAACCUUUAAAAGAACAGAAACUUACUGCGUGUAGUGGCACACACCUGUGAUCCCAGCUACAUGUGAGUCUAGGCCAGGAAGAUUGCAAAUGGUGCAAGACCAGUCUCAACAACUUAGCAAGACCUUAUCUUGAAGUUUACUAAUGGGGAGGGGUGGAUGUAGCUCAGUGUUCACUGGGUUCAAUCCCCAUUGCUGCCUAAAUAAACAAAUAAAUAGUAGAGACUUGGGGCAGGUAGAGUGAAUGAAUCAUCCCAAUGAUACUGUCUGUAGGAAGAGAGCUUCAUUUCUCUGGCCUCAGUUUCCUCAAUCAUGUAGACAGGGAUCUAGGACCCAACUACUUUUUACGUUACUGACUUAGAUGAAGUGGUAAGUGUUCACUACUAAAUCGGAGAAAACAUCAACCAAGACAGAGCUAAAAUUCUCUGGACAGUGGCAUUUUGUGUUCAUAGUGAAGAGUAGGGCCCGGGUCAGUUCAAAAGAGGCAAUCAACUUAUGUUAAAUGGAGCUGUGUGUUUUAAUGAUUUAUUUUUGGGAAUGAAACAAUUUGGGAAAUGCUUCUGCUCAUUGUCCUGGAUGUCCACACCUUGAGAUAACAGUCACUAAGGCUGAUUCUGAGACCUCAUUACAAAGCACAGUACAAAGUUCUUAUCCUUGGCAAUGAUUAGUAUGAAACAUAGCUUGGGAGGAAUGGCUAACAGUUAAUAAGAGGAGACUGAUGUAUGUCUGAUUACUGAGAUGUACAUCUACUAAGUGACAUACUGGUGGGAUGUCUCUGCAG